CAACCAAGCUGGAAGGGCAAGCCAUUUCUGGUGGUAGCAGCCUUCAUUCUUACCUAUUUUGUUCGGUUGGUGCUCGGCAGAGAAAUAUGGAUGCUAAGUGUGGUUCUCACCUUGGUGUCCCAGUUCGUCUGGCCGCUUGAGCUGGGCUAAGACCGGGCCUGACACGUGUCCUAUGACUCGAAUUGUAAUAGCGUAGCCCCACGUGUAAACUUUCUUUAACAUGUAAAAUAGUUAGUUGAGUUGUGUA